ACAAAAUAAGAUCCAGAGGACCCCUUGGAAAUAAGGACCGGGAAAACGCCGUGGGCGAUUGCUUCCUUUGUAGCAUCAAGGAGUCGAACGUAGUCUUUAUAAUCAUAUCCAGCGUAAUGGGGGUAUUCCUCCCAAUGCUUUUCUGCAUGCAAAACCCAAGAAGGAGCCAUGAACACUGAAUAGUAAACUCGGGGUUUUGAGAUUGAUUCAGACUUUCGUCUUCUUGCUUGCAAAGACUUGCUUAAUUUGUUAGCCCAUUGACCAAAUUUUGACUGGGUAACUAGCCCUUUUAAGCUUCCAAAGACUUCAUUUCCCUCAUUUUCGUCUGGAAGAAGAAGACUCGACGAAGACGAACUGUUUGACGAAGCCCAUCCAUCCCUUAACGAUUCUAAGGGAUUGGUCUGUUCCUCAUUAGUGUUUAAACUAUUUUCCUGAUAAUUUGGAAAAGAAUCGAGAGUAUCUGAAUGGAAUGUCGAUUCCAUAACGCCCUGUGCAAGUACAGCACAAAAGCAAGAAUCAACGAAACUCGGCUUUUUUAAAAUAAAACUCUAGAAUGACCGAAACGGAAAAGUGAUACUAUGAUAUUAAUGAGCGUGUCAAAUCACUGCUAACGUAUCUCUUUCCCUAAAUUGCCUAGCAAAGUCUCUGUUUUUACACUUGGAACAUGGUUAGCACUUGAAUCAACUGCUCAUAAUCUUUGCUGCAAUGAGUAACGUAAUGUAGCACACUGUGGGUUUAGUACGUUAAGCAGUAUAUAUAUAUUAUAUAUACAAUGUUUAAAUACUUGAAUCGAUUAGAUACUGUAAAUUAUAAACAAACAUUACUGUAUAUUUGAAAUUCAGAAAAAACUCUUUCAGGAAACUCCCUUGAAUAUACUAAGAUUUUUAGCUGAAGAAUAUUUUAAUUUGCAGUAAAUAAAUAAAUUCAACAUGAAAUUGAACAUUACGAGAAUUCCUAGUAUCCCAAAUAAUACUCAU